UGGGGAAUUUUGCGCAAUGGGCGAAAGCCUGACGCAGCAACGCCGCGUGGGUGAUGAAGGUCUUCGGAUCGUAAAACCCUGUCGUCAGGGACGAAGGUCGGGGUGUGAACAGCGCCUUGGCUUGACGGUACCUGGAGAGGAAGCCCCGGCUAACUCUGUGCCAGCGACGCCGACGGUAAU
rnacentral:rRNA from 1 species